CCCUUCCCUUCCCUCUUUGUCAUUCUGUCAUUAUCUUCCUCCCUCCUCCUUCAAUUUCCUGCCAGCUUCCCCAUGUACUUUGUUUAAAGGAAGGAAGUUGUUGGGGAAGCCACCGGAAGUUUCAAGUCCAGCAGGCAGGUAAAUGGCUGCUGCCGGGUGGGGAGAGAGUGGGGGGGUGUCUGUGGAGUGCAGGCAAAAAAUAGUACAUGAGGUGAACGACAGGUUUCGUAACACUUGGGAAGAGUACCUGGAGAUGCAUGAGAGUUGCUAUGCAGAGUGUGUAGGGGCACAGGAUAGGGCACACGUCACGAAAUGCUUGUGGGGGUUGCAGAGGUGCCAUGCCAAUCAGGAAUGACCUAUGGGAAGGAUGCCAGGGAGUGCUUAAGAGUGUGCAAGAGGUGCCUUACAUGGACAGCACACGAGGGAAUGGCAGCAUAGAUCAGGAAGGGUGUGGGGGAGGGUGCCCAAGAAGUAACACAUGGGUGAGAGAAGAUGCACAAAAGAGAAAUGUGCGUGGGCUGCCCACGAGAUGAUGCAGAGAUCAGGGAAGGCAUGCAGGGGGCAGUGCAAAUCAGGGAGGGUUGGCAGAAGUGUGCAAGGAGUCGGGGAAGCACGUGCAGGGGGGUGGCAUUGACCUGAAAGAGUGCAUGAGGGUUCCUUCCUUCUCCCUUUCUCCCCUUUCCUUUCCAGCAGGCACGUAAAUGGUUGCUGCUGGGUGGGAAAUGGAAUGAGACGUUGUGAGUCUGACUGAGAAACUGUCACACUGAAAAUGAAGACCACAUGACUGCAGCAGCAGCAGCAGCCAGUACCACUGAAACAGCCACAACUUUCCAAAUUUCAUUCCCUCAGGAGUCAGUGGUCCCAGAUUUUGGACACAUUCUGCAAAUUAGCUCAUUUGAAGUACCCUGGUUUAAAAAUGGUCGCCCUUUGAUGCACUCUUUUUGCUCAGUUAAAAGUCAUGACAGUGAAUUUUAAUAGUAUAUAGAUAGUAUACCUCCUCAAAUGGUGGCAAUGGAUCAGCCAUAACAGAUCAGGGAUUCCAAGGGUGUCAUCUAACCCAACUAGCUAUAAUGGAACUUGGAGACCCUGAUUCUACACUCCUGUACCCCAAUCCAAAAAUUAAGAGAGGAAAGGCUUAAAUAGAGAGAGCAAGAUGCUCUCUAUGGUGCAUAGAAGGGGUUGGGCACCUAAAAUAAUACAAAGUUUUUCAAUAAAUUAUAUUUUUAAUGUAAAUUGUUCCACUUAGCAUUAUUACAAAAAUAUCUUGGUCCAUUAGGAAUAUAAACCAUACAUUAUUAAUGUCAUAAAUCACACAUUUUCCAUUUGCAUCUAGAAUCCUCUGUCUUCAAAGCUUUACAAUAUUUUUGCACAAUGUUGUCAUGAAUAUAUACAGUUCAUCCAGAAGAGCUGGGGAGUGACAGAGCAGCUGUCUGGAGUGUUUUCCUAUCAAUAUGUCAUUUAGUUUGUGCCAUGGGUUGUUAGCUAUCAUAUGCCACAGCAUAUGUCACGGCAACCUUAUCCAAACAUGGGCAGUUUGGCAUGAUGAUAGACAGUAAGCUUGGAACAGCUAUUGGUAGACACUUUACAGUACAAUCCAAAACCAUCCAUCAGCUGACAUAAACUGAUUUAAUACACCUUAUUUUUAGAAAAGAUAUUUAAUAAAUUACCCGGAAUCAUUUGAAAGGUUAUGUAAAUUUUGUUCAAGCCAAGAACUGUAGAUUUAGAUCACCUUUUUAAUGAAUAGCUCUACAUCUUCAGACAAAUAAUGAAAAAGGAAUGUAGAUAUAAUUCAUUGAUACAGGUAAGCCAAGAUUUUUCUGUGAAACCUUGAAUGAUCCACUGCCUGGCAAGACUGUAGACAAUGCCAAUAUAGUAGAUUUACUAUACUGAGUAGCCUUACUCAGUGAAAUACAGUGGGCAUGUAUGCAAAAAAUAUAUAUAUUCAACCAAAAGACAGUAAGAAGGAAUUUUUUAAGGACAGGAUAGAACAAUUAAAAUUUAGAUUGCUAAGGCUUCAAAUGUUUAAUGGGGAGAUAGAUUUAAUGACAACAAAUGACAACAGAUAGAACAAUUGAAUUGGCAAUGAAGAUAUCAAAGUGGUGGAUAGCUUCUGCCUUUUAGGAUCAAUUAUGAACUGUAAAGGAACAAGCAGUCAAGAAAUAGUAAACUGAAGAUUAGCACUUAGUAGAGCAGCAUAAUGGCCUUGGAAAAGAUAAUUGAAUGCUGAGGUGUGUCUAUACCUACAAAAAUUGUGCAAUCGUAGUAUUCUCUAUGAUAUUCUUCAGAGGUGAAAAGUGGACCUUGAAGAAGCAGGCUGGAUUUAAUUACAAUAGAAAUGGGUGCAAUCUUGAUAGACCUGAAAAACUAGGUUAGGGACAGAUUGUCAUGGAGAAGAUCUAUGCAAUCACUAGAAAUUGAAAACAACUAUGGCACAUAAUCAAUAGCAGUUAAUGCACCUUAUAUCUGGAGCAUGAAUGAAUUCAUCUUUCUGAAUACUCAUGCAUUCAAAGAGAUGCAACACAUAAAAUCCUUCAUAACUUUAAAGUAGUUCUGGUAGUCCUUCAUUUACAACAGCAGUAGGGAUCGUAAUUUCAGUAGCUAAGUGAUGCAGUUGUAAAAUGCGACCACAUCAUUUAGCAACAACAGUCCCCACAGUUUAACACCAUCACAAUUCCAUAUAUGGUGUAACUUGAAAAAUCUUACAUUACGAAUGUGGUUUGCUUAUGGAGUAGUUGUGCAACUUGUUUAACAUGUAUUUGAAGACUGCAUAUAUGCCUGAUAAUUGAAUAAAUGUUCCCUACACAAAGAGAAAGGGAGCAAGAGUAAGUGCAAAAACUACCAGUUCAGAUGUUAUUUGCAUAGUGCAACAAGUGCAGGAGAAUUUAUUUAUAAAUUGUGCACAUGAAGAUGACUGUUAGAAUUCUGUUUGAAAAAGUAUAAGGUGUGUCAAUAAGCAUAAUUUUAGAAGCACACUGAAGAUUUAUGAGGGACGGGGAUAUACAGACCAUUUUGUUCUUCACUGAGAAAUGUAUCCAUGUUCAAAAGAAAAUUCUGUUGUCAUUUGUUGAUUUUAGAAAGUAUAUCAUAAAAUGAAUAGGUUUGAAUUAUGGACUUUUUUGUGCAAAUAAGGAGUUGAAGACUGAUUACUAAAUAAGCUAAGAAUAGCUUAUGAUGAAACUAAAACGUGAGACUAAAUGGAACACUUAGAAAAUGGUUCAACAUACUGAAGAAUGAAAGAGAAGACAGGUCUGCAAAGCAAAAGAAAGUUGAAGCAAGAUCAUGAGCUCAGUCAUUUUUUCAAUUAUCAACCACUUAGCUUAACAAUCAAUUUUCUAAUCCCAAUUGUGGUUGCUAAACAAGGACUAUCUAUAAUGAUUUAGGUGUCUAAAAUAAAAUGUUUUAUACGGUU